UGUUGAGAAAAGGACAACCAGUUGGAACCCAUAUUAUCAGGAAUCCUGGGCCCAAUAAAAAAAAACGAUAAAGAGGAAUAAGGAGAUAAAAUUACAAAAGAAAGUAAAACAGGAUGCACAUUUUCACUGUGUAUUUUUUUGAACUCUUGUUCUUCUUGUUGACACCUCAACUCAGGAAUGACACACACACACACACACACACACGGUAGCACAAUUGUUGUUGUUUUGUUUAAGGCUUCUUUCACGUAACUUUGACUUUUCCAUAACCUUAGCUUUCAUAGUACACCUCAAGUAUACUGUUUUUCUCCCGCGCCUAAGCUACCUUUCUUUCAUAUAUUCUGGGCAUAAAAGCUUUCUUUAUUUUGUAUACCAUAAAAUCAUUCCUUUCUUUUGCAAAACCUUCACUUAAAAAUUGACCAUAUAACUCCUUUUUUGAGUAGUUCUUCCGCAUCCCUUUUCUAUUUGUUUUAUAAUAGUUUUAGGUCUUUUUCUUUGCAAUAAGUUUGUUGAAAACUGGAGUUUUAGAGGUGAUUCUUCUAUUGUGUGGUUGAGAAGUAUGUCAUCUGAAAUCAUGGUAUUUUGGUUGUCUUUCUCAAUUCCCCUUUGGAUAUGAUGCCUUUUUAUGGGUUUUUCUUUUCUUACAACAAACAGGCAGAAGAAAAGGAAGGAGCACCAGACAGAUAGAAAAAAACAUUGAAGAGAACGAACGAGGCUGUUGUAUCAGAUAAGAAAAAGCUACAGAGAGAAGGGUUUGCUCUUGCGUUGGUAAUCAUAACAAUGGUGGUGCUGGAAGUCUUGCCUCUACGAUGUCGUAGAGGAUGUCAGAUGAAAAAAGGUCGUGUUAGCACUGUGGGUGGCAUUUCGAGCACAACAAGGAUGAUGGAAUAAUGAAGCCGUGAUGGUCUUUUGUGCAUGAUAAUUUACAGCAUCUCAUUAUAUGCAUUGUGUAUAUAUGUUGUCUGUGAAGUGCAUAUUGUUUGUCUUUCCUUCCCCUAUGUUGGAAUAAUGAAGUUAAACUGCUUUCGAUA